rnacentral:rRNA from 1 species
UACGUAGGGUGCAAGCGUUGUCCGGAAUUAUUGGGCGUAAAGAGCUCGUAGGCGGUUUGUUGCGUCGGCUGUGAAAUCCCGAGGCUCAACCUCGGGUCUGCAGUCGAUACGAGCAAACUAGAGUGUUGCAGGGGAGACUGGAAUUCCUGGUGUAGCGGUGAAAUGCGCAGAUAUCAGGAAGAACACCCGUGGCGAAGGCGGCUCUCUGGAACGCAACUGACGCUGAGACGCGAAAGCGUGGGGAGCAAACAGG